rnacentral:rRNA from 1 species
CUGGAAUGCACUGUGGCUGAAAGCUCCGGCGCCGAAGGAUGGGUCUGCGGCCUAUCAGGGUUGUAGUGGGUGUAAUGUACCUACUAGCCUACGACGGGUACGGGUUGUGAGAGCAAGAGCCCGGAGAUGGAUUCUGAGACACGAAUCCAGGCCCUACGGGGUGCAGCAGGCGCGAAAACUUUACAAUGCGGGAAACCGUGAUAAGGGAAUCUCGAGUGCCAGCAUAUAAUGUUGGCUGUCCAGAUGCCUAAAAAGCAUCUGUUAGCAAGGGCCGGGCAAGACCGGUGCCAGCCGCCGCGGUAACACCGGCGGCCCGAGUGGUAACCGCUUUUAUUGGGUCUAAAGGGUCUGUAGCCGGCCAGGUAAGUCCCUUGGGAAAUCUGGCAGCUCAACUGUCAGGCUGCUAGGGGAUACUGUUUGGCUUGGGACCGGGAGAGGUGAGAGGUAC